rnacentral:rRNA from 1 species
AUUGAACGCUGGCGGCAGGCCUAACACAUGCAAGUCGAGCGGAGAGGCGGACGGGUGAGUAAUGCCUAGGAAUCUGCCUGGUAGAGGGGGAUAACGUCCGGAAACGGGCGCUAAUACCGCAUACUAUCAGAUGAGCCUAUGUCGGAUUAGCUAGGUGGUGGGGGAAAGGCCUACCAAGGCGCCGAUCCGUAACUGGUCUGAGAGGAGGAUCAGUCACACUGGAACGGAGACACGGUCCAGACUCCUACGGGAGGCAGCAGGGGGGAAUAGUGGACAAGGGGCGAAAGCCUGCUCCAGCCAUGCCGCGUUUGUGAAGAAGGUCUUCGGAUUGUAAAGCACUUUAAGGUGGGAGGCGUUACCAGCAGAAUAAGCACCGGCUAACUUCGUGCCAGCAGCCGCGGUAAUUC